UAAGCCAUGCAUGUCUAAGUUCACACCCUCGUACGGUGAAACCGCGAAUGGCUCAUUAAAUCAGUCGAGGUUCCUUAGAUGAUCCGAAUUUACUUGGAUAACUGUGGUAAUUCUAGAGCUAAUACAUGCCGACCAGCUCCGACCCCUCGGGGAAAGAGCGCUUUUAUUAGUUCAAAACCAGUCGGGUUGCCCCGUCCUUUGGUGACUCUGGAUAACUUUGUGCCGAUCGCAUGGCCUCGAGCCGGCGACGCAUCUUUCAAAUGUCUGCCCUAUCAAAUGACGAUGGUACGUGAUCUGCCUACCAUGUUAGCAACGGGUAGCGGGGAAUCAGGGUUCGAUUCCGGAGAGGG
rnacentral:rRNA from 1 species